ACCCUUUAAUGAUUCAUAAAUAUGAUGCUCGGGCGUUCAUGCCAUCACGUGAGUUGUGCCUCCCUUUAUACCUUGUUACAUCAUAAGCCCAUUAGCCGCUUGAAG
rfam:Fukomys damarensis contig149173, whole genome shotgun sequence.